rnacentral:pre_miRNA from 7 species
UUUUUGGAGAUAUGGGUGGUCACACUGAUCCAAAGCAAGCCCCAAAAUGAAAGACUCUGAGAAGAGCCCCUUGCUCAGGCCUCUGGAUAAUAUCAGACACCCAAGAAUUCACGAUAGACC